GCCAGCCCGCUCAGAAACUCAAAGGAAUUGACGGGGGCCCGCACAAGCGGUGGAGCAUGUGGUUUAAUUCGAUGAUACGCGAGGAACCUUACCUGGGCUCAAAUGUAUGUUGACGUAUUCUGAAAGGGAUACUUCUUCGGACAAUAUACAAGGUGCUGCAUGGUUGUCGUCAGCUCGUGCCGUGAGGUGUCGGGUUAAGUCCCAUAACGAGCGCAACCCCUAUCAUUAGUUGCCAUCAGGUCAAGCUGGGGACUCUAAUGAAACUGCCUACGCAAGUAGUGAGGAAGGUGGGGAUGACGUCAAAUCAGCACGGCCCUUACGUCCAGGGCUACACACGUGCUACAAUGGCCGGUACAAAGGGCAGCUACCUGGUGACAGGAUGCUAAUCUCAAAAGCCGGUCUCAGUUCGGAUCGGAGUCUGCAACCCGACUCCGUGAAGUUGGAUUCGCUAGUAAUCGCGCAUCAGCCAUGGCGCGGUGAAUACGUUCCCGGGCCUU
rnacentral:rRNA from 1 species